CCUUGCUCCGGGCGACGUAUGACGAAUGCGGCGGCCGAAGCAUCAGACACACACUGUGCCCGGGGAAGUUCUCGGCACUUCAGGGCGUU
rfam:Streptomyces sp. CB01249 scaffold1, whole genome shotgun sequence.